rnacentral:rRNA from 1 species
UACGUAGGGGGCAAGCGUUGUCCGGAUUUAUUGGGCGUAAAGAGCGUGUAGGCGGCCAGGUAGGUGGGUUGUGAAAACUGGAGGCUCAACCUUCAGACGUCGACCCAAACCCCCUGGCUAGAGUCCGGAAGAGGAGAGUGGAAUUCCUGGUGUAGCGGUGAAAUGCGCAGAUAUCAGGAAGAACACCGGUGGCGAAGGCGCACAUCUGGCCCGAUACUGACGCUGAGGCGCGAAAGCUAGGGGAGCAAACGGG